rnacentral:lncRNA from 1 species
CUCUAAUUUCUUACAACAGUGAUUCUCAAGCUUGGGAAUGUGUCAGAAUCUCCCGGGACUGAGUGAUAACUCAGAGGCCCAGACCCUGUCCAAACUCAGGGAGCCCAGGCUUCGGGGUUUGUUCUUAGCUUUCUGGUGGGGUUGGAUAUGCACCAAAAUUUAAGGACCACCGUGCCUGAAUUCCCUCUAGGAGUGCCAAAGUAAGGCUAACACACCUCAAGUAACAGAGAAGUCAUCGAUCCGAGGUAACCCAUUCUCCUGGUCAGCUCCAAUGGACCGCCGGGGUCUAGCACGGAAGGAAAAUGCUCCCUUUGAACCACUCACACCCUUGAUGCCAGCUUCUACCAUCCCCUGGUAUCCGUGGAUCCUUCUCCCACAUAGCUGGGUCACCUUGGACUCUUGGAUGCUCACUGAGGCCACAGACUCCAGGGUUUGAGGCCUCUGGGGACUCUCAGUGACCCAGUCACUUCGCAGCAACUCAACUGACUCUGAACAGCACCC